GAUGAACGCUAGCGGCAGGCUUAACACAUGCAAGUCGAGGGGUAUAGUUCUUCGGAACUAGAGACCGGCGCACGGGUGCGUAACGCGUAUGCAAUCUACCUUUUACAGGGGGAUAGCCCAGAGAAAUUUGGAUUAAUACCCCAUAGUAUGUUAGAGUGGCAUCAUUUUAACAUUAAAGUUCCAACGGUAAAAGAUGAGCAUGCGUCCCAUUAGCUAGAUGGUAAGGUAACGGCUUACCAUGGCGACGAUGGGUAGGGGUCCUGAGAGGGAGAUCCCCCACACUGGUACUGAGACACGGACCAGACUCCUACGGGAGGCAGCAGUGAGGAAUAUUGGACAAUGGGCGCAAGCCUGAUCCAGCCAUGCCGCGUGCAGGAAGACGGUCCUAUGGAUUGUAAACUGCUUUUGUACAGGAAGAAACACUCCCUCGUGAGGGAGCUUGACGGUACUGUAAGAAUAAGGAUCGGCUAACUCCGUGCCAGCCGCCGCAGUAAGAC
rnacentral:rRNA from 1 species